GCUGGGCAUGGUGGCGCACACCUGGAAUCCCAAUGACUCGGGAGGCUGAGGCAGGAGGAUCACAAGUUCAAAGCCAGCUUCAGUUAAAGUAAGGAGCUAAGCAAUUCAGUGAGACCCUGUCUCUA
rnacentral:sRNA from 1 species